ACGGCCAGGACAUGCUCGAGGUGGCCAAGCUCGCCAACAUCUUGCCGUGCGUCGCAACCCCGGAGUACCGCGACUGGCCCACCGCGCACCACACCGCCUUGGUGCUCGGCGCCGCGAACGGGUACAAGGGGAUCCUGCUGGAGGGUAAGCCCGGGCAGGUUGGUAAGGGCGGGGUGUUGGAGGAGGGCGCGCUCGCGGACCUGUCCUCCUGGGACCUCACCGCCCUCUCCAUGCUCCCCCGAACCGACCCGCUGAGCCUCCUGGUGCAGGGCAGCCGGACGCAGGCGCCGGGGGCCGGAUCCGCGCUGGACUGCGCGUGGGUCAACGGCGUGCGGGUCGUCCAGGGCGGUUCGCCGGUCAACGUCGACGUCAAAGCCCUGCGCGAGGUGCUGCGAGCCGCGCAGGGUACGUAC
rnacentral:lncRNA from 1 species